rnacentral:miRNA from 1 species
UAUGGCUUUUACAUUCCUGUGU